UAAAGGAGGAGGUUAAACUGUGUUACUUUUUGGACAGGAGAGGAUUUCCAGCUUUCCUGGUAACGCUUCCACUUUUUCCUCUUUAUCACCUUCUCUCAUCAUCUUCAUCACCACCCGCUCCUGCUGCCUGUACACCAUAAACACACAUCAUCAUCAUCAUCAUCAUCAUCAUCAUCAUCACCCGCUCCUGCUGCCUGUUACACCAUAAACAAACAUCAUCAUCAUCAUCAUCACCCGCUCCUGCUGCCUGUUACACCAUAAACACACAUCUUCAUCAUCAUCAUCAUCACCCGCUCCUGCUGCCUGUUACACCAUAAACAAACAUCAUCAUCAUCAUCAUCAGCCCGCUCCUGCUGCCUGUUACACCAUAAACAAACAUCUUCAUCAUCAUCAUCAUCAUCAUCACCCGCUCCUGCUGCCUGUUACACCAUAAACACACAUCAUCAUCAUCAUCAUCAUCAUCACCCGCUCCUGCUGGCCUGUUACACCAUAAACACACAUCUUCAUCAUCAUCAUCAUCACCCGCUCCUGCUGCCUGUUACACCAUAAACACACAUCUUCAUCAUCAUCAUCAUCACCCGCUCCUGCUGCCUGUUACACCAUAAACACACAUCAUCAUCAUCAUCAUCAUCAUCAUCAUCACCCGCUCCUGCUGCCUGUUACACCAUAAACACACAUCAUCAUCAUCAUCAUCAUCAUCACCCGCUCCUGCUUGCCUGUUACACCAUAAACAACCACAUCUUCAUCAUCAUCAUCAUCAUCAUCACCCGCUCCUGCUGCCUGUUACACCAUAAACAAACAUCAUCAUCAUCAUCACCAUCAUCAUCACCACCCGCUCCUGCUGCCUGUUACACCAUAAACACACAUCUUCAUCAUCAUCAUCAUCAUCAUCAUCAUCAUCACCACCCGCUCCUGCUGCCUGUUACACCAUAAACAACAUCAUCAUCAUCAUCAUCAUCACCCGCUCCUGCUGCCUGUUACACCAUAAACACACAUCUUCAUCAUCAUCAUCAUCAUCAUCAUCAUCAUCACCACCCGCUCCUGCUGCCUGUUACACCAUAAACACACAUCUUCAUCAUCAUCAUCUUCAUCAUCACCCGCUCCUGCUGCCUGUUACACCAUAAACACACAUCAUCAUCAUCAUCACCACCCGCUCCUGCUGCCUGUUACACCAUAAACACACAUCUUCAUCAUCAUCAUCAUCAUCAUCAUCACCCGCUCCUGCUGCCUGUUACACCAUAAACACACAUCAUCAUCAUCAUCAUCAUCAUCAUCACCACCCGCUCCUGCUGCCUGUUACACCAUAAACACACAUCAUCAUCAUCAUCACCACCCGCUCCUGCUGCCUGUUACACCAUAAACACACAUCAUCAUCAUCAUCAUCAUCACCCGCUCCUGCUGCCUGUUACACCAUAAACACACAUCUUCAUCAUCAUCAUCAUCACCACCCGCUCCUGCUGCCUGUUACACCAUAAACACACAUCAUCAUCAUCAUCACCACCCGCUCCUGCUGCCUGUUACACCAUAAACACACAUCAUCAUCAUCAUCAUCAUCAUCCGCUCCUGCUGCCUGUUACACCAUAAACAAACAUCAUCAUCAUCAUCAUCAUCAUCAUCAUCAUCAUCACCCGCUCCUGCUGCCUGUUACACCAUAAACACACAUCAUCAUCAUCAUCAUCAUCAUCAUCACCCGCUCCUGCUGCCUGUUACACCAUAAACACACAUCAUCAUCAUCAUCACCAUCAUCAUCACCCGCUCCUGCUGCCUGUUACACCAUAAACACACAUCAUCAUCAUCAUCAUCACCCGCUCCUGCUGCCUGUUACACCAUAAACACACAUCUUCAUCAUCAUCAAUCAUCAUCAUCAUCACCCGCUCCUGCUGCCUGUUACACCAUAAACACACAUCUUCAUCAUCAUCAUCAUCAUCAUCACCACCCGCUCCUGCUGCCUGUUACACCAUAAACAAACAUCAUCAUCAUCAUCAUCAUCACCGCUCCCUGCUGCCUGUUACACCAUAAACACACAUCUUCAUCAUCAUCAUCAUCAUCAUCACCACCCGCUCCUGCUGCCUGUUACACCAUAAACAAACAUCAUCAUCAUCAUCAAUCAUCAUCACCCGCUCCUGCUGCCUGUUACACCAUAAACAAACAUCAUCAUCAUCAUCAUCACCCGCUCCUGCUGCCUGUUACACCAUAAACACACAUCAUCAUCAUCAUCAUCAUCACCCGCUCCUGCUGCCUGUUACACCAUAAACACACAUCAUCAUCAUCAUCAUCAUCACCACCCGCUCCUGCUGCCUGUUACACCAAUAAACACACAUCAUCAUCAUCAUCAUCACCACCGCUCCUGCUGCCUGUUACACCAUAAACAAACAUCUUCAUCAUCUCAUCAUCAUCUCACCCCGCUCCUGCUGCCUGUUACACCAUAAACAACAUCUUCAUCAUCAUCAUCAUCAUCAUCAUCACCACCCGCUCCUGCUGCCUUGUUACACCAUAAACACACAUCUUCAUCAUCAUCAUCAUCAUCACCACCCGCUCCUGCUGCCUGUUACACCAUAAACACACAUCUUCAUCAUCAUCAUCAUCAUCACCACCCGCUCCUGCUGCCUGUUACACCAUAAACACAUCAUCAUCAUCAUCAUCAUCUUCAUCACC
ensembl:lncRNA